CAGAAGCAAAAAACCAAAGUCGUUUUUGUUUUCUCUCCAGUUAGUAGUUUUAACAACUUAAAGUUUAUGUUGAUUUAAGUUACAGUGAAUCAGGUCUCUACCACUUAAUUUGUUUUUUCAAGAUCCACAACAAAAAGAGUGGAGGUAUUGCCCCCCUCCCCAAACUCAUUACGUGAAAACUGUUAUCUGAUCUAAGAUGAUUUCUUUUUAUUUAGUCAAGGUUCAGAAAUGGCUUCUCAAGGACGGGAACUAGCCAACCAUUUCCAGAAUGUGGGCACUCCAGUAAUGAUUGGGGGAGGAGUAUUGGCUCACACAAUACUAGGAGUCGCAUGGAAUGAAACUACAGGGCAGAUCAAAUUCCUAAUUCUAGACCCACACUAUACAGGUGCUGAAGACCUGCAAGUUAUAUUGGAAAAGGGCUGGUGUGGAUGGAAGGGUCCAGACUUUUGGAACAAGGAUGCAUACUACAACUUAUGCCUUCCUCAACGACCAAAUGCUCUUUAAAUUACCUUGGUGUCAAGACUAUAAAUAUAAAAGAGCUGUUCCAAUGUUAAUAAAAGCAUAAUUUU
rnacentral:lncRNA from 1 species